GUCCCUUUUUAGGGGCAUGGCCCUGUUAUCAUAUUUGGUGAGCAAACGCUGCUACGUCCUCUAAUCACCCCCCGAUGGGGGACGGGGGUUGAGGGGCGGCAUGCAUAGAAGUUAGGGCACCCCUUGGGGUGGACCGGACAGUGGCAUUGGUACGCCCUUGUCACAGCGAUGGGCCCGAUGAUACUGAAAGCAUGUUGGGGCUGGUAUCCUGGGACCUUCACGUGGUGGCCCUGUUUUGACUAACCUGACCAGGAUAUUCAUCAUGCUGUGGAUGGAAUGAAGAUGGCAUCAGUGUGUUAAAGCCCAAAUGUGAUCUGAUGAGAAACACACUGGAAACAGCAGUAAUUUUAGGCUUGAUGAGGUUGUACACUUCUGGAACUGUUCAUCGCUGUAUCACGAGGGUGCACAGGGACCAAGCAUCCUUGCUCUACCGCAAACUUCCUGUGACAGCAUUCAGCCUCGAUCGUCAGCUAGUUCUACUACGUACGCAAAUAUUGUGAUCUCUCAUAUCACCCUCCUUGGCUCAAAGGGGUGGACCACACAGCUGGUUAGCUAUGACCUCAGCAUCAGUUGGACUUGUACAUAGCUUCGCAGAUAAAAUGACCCAAAUUAUGGGGCUUCAGCCGCCCCUCUUCACUCGCUUAUUUUAUAGCCACAGUAUCCAGGAAGUUGUAUCUCAGCCACAGACCAAUGUAGAGAUGUUUCUGGAGUUGCUGCUUAUUGUGAUAGUUCUGGACAGCAUCAGACACUAUAGAUGGAACUGAUCAUUUGAAGGAGGGGGGGGGGGGGGGGGCAAUAAUUAGGCCAAAUAGCCCUCUCCACCUUUACCACUGCAACUUGAAGAUGUACCUUUAUACGAGGAUUCGUAGCCACGAAGGAACUGGAUUGGUGCAAAUUAAACUCGAUUGAACUGAACUGAACUUAAAACCAGGUUAAUGGCUCACAAUUUGACUUGACGGAACUACUUCAAGUUUUCCAUACUUCUGAACUGUUGCCGAUAUCGGUGUCUUUGUUCGUCUUGACAAAUCUGGGCAUGUGAUCGCUGUACGCAAACGGGAUCCGGGACGCUCUUCUACGGAAAAACCAUUGUGCGUGCUGAAACUUUUUGUUGAUUCAAGACUUAUGGAAUUUUUCAUCAUCAGAACUUUUGUGAGUGGUGGUGGGAAAUAUUGAGACUGCUGAGUUUUUGUUCAAAUUUAUUUUUCAAAGUUAAAAUAUCUUGUAUAUUUGCUACUUGGGCAUCCUUUUUUGUUGAAUGGUUCUCAUUUCUGAGCGACCCCAUUAUGGGGCACCAACCUUUUUAAUGUUUAUAGCAACCUAUUCAACCCCAGGGUGUCUUGCACAAAAAAAACCUCAAAGCGUCUUUGUUUUCACAACUAAAAAACAAAGUCAUCAUUUUUUUUAUACAUAAUUAGAGAGUAUAUCCAUUAGCUUUUCGACAAUGAAGAAAUCUUUCCAAUUGGGUAAAUGUUUAUUGAGUUAUGGCCAAAUCAAAAUAAGUACCAAUUUUU